GACGAACGCUGGCGGCGUGCUUAACACAUGCAAGUCGAACGGAAAGGCCCUGCUCUUGCGGCGUGCUCGAGUGGCGAACGGGUGAGAAACACGUGUGUAACCUGCCCUUAACUUUGGGAUAAAACCAGGAAAAUGGGGCUCAAACAGGAUAGGAGAUCCUGCAGCACGGUGUGGGUUGGAAAGAUUCGGCGGUUGGGGAUGGUCUCGCGGCUUAUCAGCUUGUUGGUGGGGUAGUUGAGUACCAAGCUUUUGACGGGUAGCCGGCCUUGGAGGGUGGCCGGGGUCAUUACGCCUGAGAGACGGCGCAGACUCCUACGGGAGGCAGCAGGGGGGAACAUUGCGCAAUGGGCGGGAGUCAGAGGCAGCAGCCCUGCGUGCGGGAUGACCUGUUUCUGGUUGUAAACCGCUUUGGCCUGUGACGAGGCCUGAGUGACGGUAAUUGGUAAAAAAGCAACGGCUAACUACGUG
rnacentral:rRNA from 1 species